AAAAUAUUAAAAAUCAAAUUAAGAAACUAGGAAUUAUUUGGAGACUAAUGAAAUUGUCCCAUAUUUUUUGGAUUAAAAAUAAAGAAGUUGUGAAUGUUUGAAAUAAAAAGGAAUUAAAGAAAAUAAAAUCAGAAAUUAGAAAAUAUGGAAAAUCAGGAAGCGUUGGAUCACGUUCAUUAAUUGACGUGGCCAAUCUGAUGGUCCUGAAUCGC
rnacentral:lncRNA from 1 species